UCAGCCGUGCUUCGUCGUAGGGAUGAGAUCGCAACGAGGCAGGACGUCGCACGAUCCGACAUUCGCGCGACGACGGUGACACGGUACAAAGAUUGUGCACGCGACCCGCUACGCAUACGUAACGUGUCACGAUUCUGGGAUUCGCUUCCGCGGCGACCGAUCGGGUGGAUGUUGUAGUUUGGCGGCAGGAGAGGCGUGUUUCCCAGGCUGUGCAACUGUGCGGUGCUAUCCUCGUUUCUGCAUCUUCCGCAUUCCUCGCUCGGAUUCGGUGUAUCUUUCACCGUGCGGAGCGCACCGAGCCUGUAUCGACGGCUCUCUUGGGAUUAUUACGCGCUCGGACCAGAGCCGGAGCCAGCUCCGGAACCGAAACUGAAACCGACGCCGUGCCGGCACCCACCAUCAUUCCAAUUUGGCCGAGCAGGGAAGAGGACGGAGCCGAUGUCGGGGUCGGAGGACAGGGUCGGCUGAACAAGAAGAGCAAGCAGGAGGCCGCGUCUCCGACGAGACCUUUUCCUAGCCUGUUGUCCAGGUCGGAUGUGUGCGAGCCCAUCGGAUAUCGGUCGAUAAGUUGGUCGGGGUACGUGGAUUGAAUGGCAGGUCGAGCCCUGGACUCCUGUCGCGGGACAGUCUUCUCACGCUUCCGGCUGACCCUUGGAUAAGGCUGUUUCCCAUCCGAAGGGCACGUUCGCCGGUGGGCCAGCGAAGUUUGCCCGCUGCCAGUCGGCGGUCAUUAGCUCCGAUUAUCCGCGGAGCCUCGCGAGAUAGGAGCCAGGUGAUUCCGAGCAGCUGCGUGCUGCGAGCGAUCGGCGAGAAGAGUUCUCCAUCCAGAAAGCUAGCAGAAGGUUCGACGUAUAAGGGGGUUGCCAGGAAGCUCGGGGCCGGUCAGGGUGAUUCCGAUGAGGACGACGGCGUAGGAGAAGUUGGUCGGCGUUGAUCCAUCGUCCAGGUCAGCCACGUGCA